CAUUGGCCUGCUUCCUGGCCCACCCUUGGGGAUGUUUCCCAAGCCUGCUAACCCUCUGUAAACACAGAGAUUGUUCGGCUCACUCGCUUCCUGAGCCAGGAAAGCUUCGCUGCACGAGACUCCUCUCCGCCGAAGCCUCUGCUCACGGACCCAAAGGCAUCAUGAGGAUGCUUUACUUGCUGUGUGUCCUUCUCCUCUUCCUCUGCCAGUCUGCUGCAGGUGAGAAACUGAGGCACAGAGGAGGCAACAGGGCGAAACAGAUCAGAAGCGCUGCUCAGCUGCUUUUGACUUCCAGGGACAAAACAGCCACAAGGAAGGGCUGUGGAUCAGUGGUGGAGCAUUGACUCUGCAUGGAGAAAACCCAGGUUCAAUUUCCAAUGGCAUUUCCAGGUAGCACUAGGAGAGACACCUGUCUGAAUACCUGGACAGCCGCUGCCAUCAGUGAAGGAAGGACUGAGCUAGAUAGGGGUGCAGCUGAGGCCACCCAUUGCCUCACCAUCUCUUCAUACAGCCCUUGGAAACUCCUUUUUUUUCUUUUUCUUUUUACUGCACAUGCAGAACCCUCCUUGCACCUUAUCUGGAGUUGUUUUUCACUUUAUAAGUUAGGUUCCUCCUAAACUGGUUCUUGCCAGUACGUAAAGGUGCCCCUGACCAUUAGGUCCAGUCACGGAUGACUCUGGGGUUGCAGCGCUCAUCUUGCUCUAUAGGCCGAGGGAGCUGGCAUUUGUCCGCAGACAACUUCCGGGUCAUGUGGCCAGCAUGACUAAGCCGCUUCUGGCGAACCAGAGCAGUGCACAGAAACACCGUUUACCUUCCCAUCAGAGCGGUACCUAUUUAUCUAUUUGCACUUGACAUGCUUUCAAAUUGCUAGGUUGGCAGGAGCAGGGAACAAGCAAUGGGAACUCACCCCGUCGCGGGGAUUCGAACCGCCAACCUUCUGAUCGGCAAGCCCUAGGCUCUGUGGUUUAGACCACAGCGCCACCCGAGUCCCCAGGUAAAGGUAAGGUAAAGGUAAAGGACCCCUGGAUGGUUAAGUCCAGCCAAAGGUGACCUCGCUUUCAGGCCGAGGGAGCUGGCGUUUGUCCACAGACAGCUUUCUGGGUCAUGUGGCCGGCAGGACUAAAUCGCUUCUGGUGCAACGGGACACUGUGACGGAAGCCAGAGCGCACAGAAAUGCCAUUUACCUUCCCGCCGCAGUGGUACCUAUUCAUCUACUUGCACUGGCGUGCUUUCGAACUUUAGGUUGGCAGGAGCAGGGACAGAACAAUGGGAGCUCAGCCCGUCAUGGGGAUUCGAACCGCCGACCUUCCGAUUGGCAAGCCCAAGAGGCUCAGUGGUUUAGAUCACUGGUUCUUGCCAGUACAGCAGUCAGGCUGAACUCUUUGUAGUGACACUGGUCUCGCUGUAAGUGGGUUUUUGCAGAGUUUUUGCCUUGGUGGGUCUCAGUUUUACUCAAACCUGUGGUUCUCUGAACAGCACCGGGAGACCUCUAUGACAGCCUGCAGUGCCACUACAACCAUGGACAUUGCCGGAGACUUUGCUUCUACAAUGAAAGGCCCAUUGGCACCUGCACCAAUGGGCGCCAGCGUUGCUGCAGAUGAUGGCCCAGAAGGAUCCAUAAGCUGCAGGAAACCGGAGGAAGACCUCCUGAGAAGCAGCAAGAGAACUAUGCGUAUUGGCACCCAAAGUGGACUUUUAUCUGGAAAUAAUAAUAAGUGGUUUUGUUGCCAUUAAAUAAACUGUGCAUGAAAGAAAACCA
rnacentral:lncRNA from 1 species